rnacentral:lncRNA from 1 species
AAUCGCUUCCGUGGUGAAUCACCUAUGUCGCUGGCAUCUAAAGUUACCCUCGGUCUUGCAGUUGCAGGAUGUAUUGGAACAUUUUUUUACGUGACAGCUACUCAAGAAUUAGACAGAAUGAGAAUGCAUGAAGGAGUAUUGCGAGAUAUAGAAAAUCAAAAAAGGAAAAGGCAACUUGCUUCAGAGCAAGAAGCUGGAAAUUCGAAAGAAGGAUUUUCUUUAGCAAAAACUUAAUCAACAUAAUUCACAAUGGAGGAGAGUACAGAUAGUAGAAUUACUGAAAUUGAGAAUCUUUCUCAGAAAUUUGGUGCUUAUUGUAUAGAAGAUGAUACCCCACUGAUUCUAUCCAGCAAAUCUGAAAUUGCAGUUGAUGCAAAAUUAAACUGCAGUCUAUUUGACUUUCAAAGGAGAGGAAUCCAGCAGAUGUUUCAAUCUUUCACAAAUGGCUCAGGUGCAAUAAUUAAUGAUGUCCCAGGCUCAGGGAAAAAGGUUCAGGUUGUCGCCUUCAUCUCAGCUCUGAUUUCAACCCAACGGCGGACUGAGUCAGGUGAAUUCUUCUCAGCCAGAGUUUAUCCUGCUCUAAUAAUUUGUCCUAGAGCUAAAAUUCAUGUAUGGGAAAGUCGCAUUAAACAGUGGAGCUCUCUGAAGCACUCAGUUUGCUUGGACUUAGAUAUAAGCAAGGCAGCAGAUUCUACAGAUGUAGUUUUGUUUCCCUUUGAUCUCCUGGCCAAGUCUGUUGUCAAUGUGGCUAAACGCAAGUGGACAGUUUUGUUUGUAGAUAAUAUAGAAGUUAUCACACUGAAACAGAAGUAUGAACUUCUACUGCAUCACUUGCCACGAGACCCUCGAUUUGGAAUAUCCUCCAAAAUUUUGGAUGACAGUGAAACUUUGGCAACCAUUGUUGGUUGGGCCUCUCCUUCUUACUAUGAACAAUUCAAGAGAGACAGAUCAAACAUCCUCUCUUUCAUCAAACAAUUUGAUAGCAAGUCGGGACCAAAAGCUGACCAAAUUCGAGGUCUACAUCUGAAAGCAAAUCUUUUAAGCAUACGAAAUGAAGUCUUCAUUAAAAGAGAUGGGAGAAUUCCUGAAGCCUUGCUGGAUAUACCAAGGGAUUCAGAAGAAGUAGAUUUUGAUCUCCACCCAAGUACAUCUCAAGCCAAGAGAGCUCCUCCAAAAGCAAAUAAGAGAAGGUCGAAUGAAAAAGUCAAACCAAAAGUGAAAUCUCCUCGACUCAAUUCGAGAGACAGAGCUCCAACUCAUGAUAUUUCAGAUGAUGAUGGUGACAUCGAAGAUAAUGAUGGUGGUGGCGACUACUCAGCCAGGACUAAAAAAGGUCCAGCAACAAAUGAGGAAGACAAAGUUUUUCGUAGACUUCCAAGAAGAGUAAGGGCAGAAAGCAAUGAUUCAGAAGCUCCAUCAAGUGUUGAGGCAAAGCCAUCUACUUCCUCAGAAUCCAGAUCAAUGGAUAGAUCUCCUGAACCACAGCCUUCCUGUUCAAGAUCAUCAAAAACAGAAGAGCUAAAGUCUGAUUUUGGACCUUCAAGUACAUCUGACAUCAAUCACAAUUCAGACUACGAUAAACUAGAUGCCUUAUUCUUCUCUUCAACUAAAGUUUUGAAGUCGCCUAAAAAAUCCAGAAAAAGAGCUUCUCCGUCAAAACAAGAACAAACCAAUACAGAGUUUUCUGAUACUAGAGAAAGCUCAGAUGUUGCCGAUACUCAGGCAAGUAUGGGUGUUUUCGGAGACUUCCGAACUCAACAAUUGGAACUGUUAAAUUCGGUAUUCCUCAAAACUCCUCCAGUAUCAAAACCUCCACCAUCAAAAUUUAAAAGUUUCACUCAGGCAUCGCAGAAGACAAAAACUGUUCGUGAGCGUAUCGAUGGAAAAUUAUCUGAGACAGAUAAAGAAUCUACAAUCAGUCAGGAUUUGGACUCGUUCUUUGAAAGUCAAACCAAGAAACCACCUCCUCGGAAACCAGGAGACUCCAAGAUCUUUUGUUCUCAGCGACCGGAGGAUUUGUUGGACGAUAUUCUUUUCUCCCAGCCUGUCGUGCGAAAAGGUCCUCCAAAGAAGAAGUUCUUCACUCAGUCGGCUGCUCUUUCCGAUGCUGGGUCAUCUUCAAGGCAACCAAUGCAACCACUCAAGAACCAAGCUGUAAAACCGGAUCAAAAUUCUCCGCUUUUUGAUUGAUUUAUAUUUAUAUGUUAAGAAAUAAAUCUGUCAAUCUAGUCAGACUUUUAAGGGGAAAAACACCAUCAUCUUUUCCAACAAUUUUUACCAACUCUUUUAAUUUUAAUGUAUGUGCUAGAUUGCAUGAGUUUUUACAUAUCUAAUGGUUUUAUGGGAGGUUUACAGGCAAUUAAUUGAUACCUUUUUUUCACUCUAAUUUUAUAAUGUUUUAAUCGGUUGAGAACUAGAUGUUCUGUGCUUGAGUUUUAGGUAUUAAAUAUAUCCGCAGGAUUUGAAGAAUGUACGUCAUUAAAUCAGGAGUCUUCGUAGUUUGUGUGCGCUAUUUUAACCAGAGGAAACUGAUUUACCAAAUUUGAUAAUCUACUCCUAAUUUUUAUUUCCUUGUUAUUUAGUCAUUAAUCAAUACUUACCGAAUUUGUUAUUCAAAGGCUAAGGCUCAUGUGCUCUUAUUACCAAUUUUCUAAUUCCAGAAUUCUUUAGGCAUGAUGAAAACAAGAAAAUACAAGUUUCUUCAUUUUGAGUGCCUUGCUUGCACUAAUUGUAUCUCGUAUUGACUGGUAACGUACUAAGUUUUUUUAUCUCUAACAAAGAUUGUUCCUCUUAUCAUUUUGGCAAUAUUCGAAAUAAAAAACUCAAUUCUUAUUCUUUUCGAAGACUGGUCCUGUAUUCAGUCCCUUUAAUUUCAUUUAAGAUAGCUCUUACUUCAUUUUAAUUUAGCAACAUACGCAAUAGGUAAUUUAAAAUUUAUAUAUUUACCCCUCUGUAACUGGCUUAUCGACGGUGAAACUACCAAACCACGUAUCUCGGUUUGCGACGUUGUAGACUUCCUGUCAUACUUUAUUUUUUAAAUGAAAAACUACUUAACGUCCAGUCUUGAAAAUUUCUGUGAUUUUUCCUCUUCGUGCAGAGAAAUUCUGUGAAAAUUUCAAGAAAUGAUAUUGAUUUGGUCUAUUUCAAAAAAAUAAUAUGUGAGCGUAGAUUUUUAAACACCGCAAACGAGAUACGUGGUUUGGUAGUUUCACCGUCGUUAUGUAUUUCUAACUUGAAUUCAACUUUCAACUAAGUUCUUAUUUUUUGUUUGUUUUUAGAAGUAGCACCAUGUAAUAUUUUCUCUUCGAUUUGUUCAAGAAUUCCUCAAGUGGGUUGGAUAUCCGUUAUUUUUGAACUUUUUAAACAUAAGUGAAGGUAUAUUAGUGUAGAAAAUGUAAUUAUUUUUCUGAGUUAUUGUAAAUUUUUAUAUUUUUUUUAAUUAGAAAAUUUUUGAUCAAUUUAAAGGUCAUCUUUUUAUUCUAAGAAUGAAGAUUUACCCUCAGCGAAAACCCUGGGGGAAGUUUCCUAAAAGUUUUAAUUUCUUUGAAAGAUUAUUCGUGAGCAAGUUAUAGUUUCCACUGGUCAUCCACCAUUAUUGCAGUUAUCAUUAUUCAAUGGCCGUUUUUAAAUCAAAAGGAACCACACCCAAUGUGAUGUGAGCCUUGUUUUCCAUGUAUUCAGAUUGAUCUCAUGGCUGAGAUGUCUUAGUGGAGCUAUUUUCCCUUUUGAUUUAAAUGUGUAGGUACUCACCUACGUCCAGUUGAUCUACUUUAGUCACCGAUAUUAGUUGAGAAAAAAUAAGCGCUGUUUUUUAGUUAAUGUCAGUGUAUUUGUACAGGUAUAAACAUUGUACAAAAUAUUAUUACAAUGUGGAAAGAACUCGUAUUUCAUAAUGAGUACGUAAUUAAAAAUGAGACAAUGAAAAAAGAGGAACAACUGCUGGAAAUAAUGUACCUACUUUCUUGACAGAUGGAUAAUCUAUGAAAAUGAAGAAGUUCUUUUUAUGAUGCAGUAAUUGAAGCUUCAGAAAUGGUUUGAAAGGUUCAGAAUGAUUGGAAAAUCAUGGCUCUUAUCCGUAUUGUUUUCUCUUUAAUGUAAGAAAGUAUGACAAUAUUUAUUUCCAUGUAAGUACCUACAAGGAACAGUUCACCAGAAAUAAGUUAGGAGUUCCCAAUGUUCCUUUUAUGUAGUGUGAAUUUGUCUCUUGAUCUCUACAUAUUUUUUUUCAACACAGGUGCAAGGCGGAUAAAGAAUG